UACAGAGGUCUCAAGCGUUGUUCGGAAUUACUGGGCGUAAAGGGCUCGUAGGUGGCCAACUAAGUCAGACGUGAAAUCCCUCAGCUUAACUGGGGAACUGCGUCUGAUACUGGAUGGCUUGAGUUUGGGAGAGGGAUGCGGAAUUCCGAGGUGUAGCGGUGAAAUGCGUAGAUAUCUGGAGGAACACCGGUGGCGAAGGCGGGUCUCUGGGCCGACACUGACGCUGAUGCGCGAAAGCCAGGGAGCGAACGGG
rnacentral:rRNA from 1 species